AGCGACAUUGAGUAAAUGGACUAACUCAUCGUGCUCAUAAUUCGAUUAUAAUGGUUCGAAUCCAUUUGUCGCAU
rnacentral:tRNA from 1 species